UGGGGAAUAUUGCACAAUGGGCGCAAGCCUGAUGCAGCCAUGCCGCGUGUAUGAAGAAGGCCUUCGGGUUGUAAAGUACUUUCAGCGGGGAGGAAGGGAGUAAAGUUAAUACCUUUGCUCAUUGACGUUACCCGCAGAAGAAGCACCGGCUAACUCCGGGCCAGCAGCCGCGGUAAUACGGAGGGUGCAAGCGUUAAUCGGAAUUACUGGGCGUAAAGCGCACGCAGGCGGUUUGUUAAGUCAGAUGUGAAAUCCUCGGGCUCAACCUGGGAACUGCAUCUGAUACUGGCAAGCUUGAGUCUCGUAGAGGGGGGUAGAAUUCCAGGUGUAGCGGUGAAAUGCGUAGAGAUCUGGAGGAAUACCGGUGGCGAAGGCGGCCCCCUGGACGAAGACUGACGCUCAGGUGCGAAAGCGUGGGGAGCAAACAGG
rnacentral:rRNA from 1 species